UUUUGAUGCUAAGAGUCCUUAAGUCCUCUGAUGUCCUUCGGGACUAGGGGUGAGGCUGAACGCUCGAUCCGAUCGGGUAGUAGGCAAGCGAUGGGGUGACGCAGGAAGGUAGUCCAGCCCAGGCGAUGGUUGUCCUGGGGUAAGCAUGUAGGGCGGAACGUAGGUAAAUCCGCGUUCUAUUCAGCCUGAGAUGUGAUGCCGAGCCGAUUGUGGUGAAGUGGAUGAUCCUAUGCUGCCGAGAAGAGCCUCUAGUGAGUGUUGUGGCGGCCCGUACCCUAAACCGACUCAGGUGGUCAGGUAGAGAAUACCAAGGCGAUCGGGUGAACUGUGGUUAAGGAACUCGGCAAAUUGCCCCCGUAACUUCGGGAGAAGGGGGACCUCUGCUGGUGAUGGGCUUUACGUUCUGAGCUGGUGGGGGUCGCAGUGGCCAGGGGGAAGCGACUGUUUACUAAAAACACAGGUCCGUGCGAAGUCGUAAGACGAUGUAUACGGACUGACGCCUGCCCGGUGCCGGAACGUUAAGGGGACCGCUUAGCCAACGCGAGUUGGCGAAGGUGAGAACUUAAGCGCCGGUAAACGGCGGUGGUAACUAUAACCAUCCUAAGGUAGCGAAAUUCCUUGUCGGGUAAGUUCCGACCUGCACGAAUGGCGUAACGACUUCCCCGCUGUCUCAACCACAGCCCCGGCGAAAUUGCACUACGAGUAAAGAUGCUCGUUUCGCGCAGCAGGACGGAAAGACCCCGGGACCUUCACUACAGCUUGACAUUGGCGUUUGGAACGUCUUGUGUAGGAUAGGUGGGAGACUGGGAAGCUGUCACGCUAGUGAUGGUGGAGUCAUUGGUGAAAUACCACUCUGGUCGUUUUGAACGUCUAACUCUGGUCCGUGAUCCGGAUCGGGGACAGUGUCUGGUGGGUAGUUUAACUGGGGCGGUUGCCUCCUAAAGAGUAACGGAGGCGCCCAAAGGUUCCCUCAGCCUGGUUGGCAAUCAGGUGUUGAGUGUAAGUGCACAAGGGAGCUUGACUGUGAGACUGACAGGUCGAGCAGGAGCGAAAGCUGGGACUAGUGAUCCGGCAUCGGCGUGUGGAAGCGGUGUCGCUCAACGGCUAAAAGGUACCCCGGGGAUAACAGGCUGACCUUCCCCAAGAGUCCAUAUCGACGGGAUGGUUUGGCACCUCGAUGUCGGCUCGUCGCAUCCUGGGGCUGGAGUAGGUCCCAAGGGUUGGGCUGUUCGCCCAUUAAAGCGGUACGCGAGCUGAGUUUAGAACGUCGCGAGACAGUUCGGUCCCUAUCCGCUGCGCGCGCAGGAGACUUGAAGGGGGCUGUCCCUAGUACGAGAGGACCGGGACGGACGAACCUCUGGUGUGCCAGUUGUACCGCUAGGUGCACGGCUGGUUGGCUACGUUCGGAAGGGAUAACCGCUGAAAGCAUCUAAGCGGGAAGCUCGCCUUGAGAUGAGGUCUCCCACCCCGUGAGGGGGUAAGGCUCCCGGUAGAUCACCGGGUUGAUAGGCCAGAGGUGGAAGCACGGUAACGUGUGGAGCUGACCGGUACUAAUAGGCCGAGGACUUGACCAC
rnacentral:rRNA from 1 species